UACGUAGGGGGCGAGCGUUGUCCGGAUUUAUUGGGCGUAAAGAGCUCGUAGGCGGUUCGGUAAGUCGGAUGUGAAAUCUCCACGCUCAACGUGGAGGGGCCAUUCGAUACUGCCGUGACUCGAGUCCGGUAGGGGAGUGUGGAAUUCCCGGUGUAGCGGUGAAAUGCGUAGAUAUCCGGAGGAACACCGGUGGCGAAGGCGGCUUCCUGGACCGACACUGACGCUGAGGCGCGAAAGCUAGGGGAGCAAACGGG
rnacentral:rRNA from 1 species